GACGAAGGGGGCUAGCGUUGUUCGGAAUUACUGGGCGUAAAGCGCGUGUAGGCGGUUGUCCAAGUCGGUUGUGAAAGCCUUGAGCUCAACUCAAGAAAUGCACUCGAUACUGGGCGACUAGAGUGCCGGAGAGGAUAGUGGAAUUCCCAGUGUAGUGGUGAAAUACGUAGAGAUUGGGAAGAACACCAGUGGCGAAGGCGGCGAUCUGGGUCGAUACUGACGCUGAGGUGCGAAAGCGUGGGGAGCAAACAGG
rnacentral:rRNA from 1 species